GCCCGCCACACGGAACCGCCGCGCGGGGCCCACCCGCGCAGAGAGAGGGAGAGGCUAGACGAGGCGUAGGGAUGGGUCGAAGAGGGGCGAGGUGGAGGAUUCCUGAAAAGGAAAGGGGAGUAGGGGGGUGAGGAGGGUGGGUGGCGCAUGGCCGCACCAGAACAGUACAGCCUGUAGCAGGCGGCCGCGUGCGCGGUGACGGUGCUUCUCUGCUGGCUUGGCCUGCCGCGGCCGCAGCCGCAGCGGCAGCGCGUCGGGGGGAAAUCAAGGAGAAAGCCGACGGAGGAGGGGAAGAAAAGGAAAGGGAGAGAAAGGUGGAGAUGCUGUGCCUGCGCGUGGAGGAUUGGGGGUGGCUUGGAUUGGAUCGGCCGCACGGCACGGCCGCGUACUGCUGCAGCUGCCCGGAUUCGCUGUUCCGGCACCGACCCUGUGGCGCCCCGGUGUGCCGCGCGCCGCCCCGCGCUCACGCGGUCGCGGUGGGUGGGUUUGGCUUCCCGUCCCGCAUCUCGUGCUGAUUUUGCUCUGGGUUUAGCCAGCGGUACGGUGCGUGGUGAUUUCGGUCUUCACUUCUUCAGAUGGUGGCUUUUCAGGAUCAGAGCCCGACUACGACUUCGACAAUGAUGGAUGGGAAGACUAGGGAUGGUCCCUCACUCAAGUCGCCUCUGGAGAUGGUGUUCACCGUAGCUUAUGUUUCCGCUACGUAAAUGUUGUAUGUACCAUGAUUUAGUCCUGAUGGACUUGUACCGGUACGUGACGAAGCGUUGUACUCGAUAUUUUUGAUAUUGUUACUCUGUUGCUACUUUAUAUUUCUGUGUUGGUAUGGAUUUGUACUAUCUGAGAUAGGGAUUCGCA